AAGGCAAAUCAGGCGGUCGCUGCGGCGCCGGGCAACCGGCGCCGGGGAGGAAAGUCCGAACUCCGCAGAGCAGGAUGCCCGGAGAGAAUCCGGGACUCGCGGCGCGCAAGCGCCGCGGGAUGGAAAGUGUCACAGAAACCAUACCGCCCCGACUUCUGCGAUGUCGGGGUAAGGGUGAAAAGGCGGGGUAAGAGCCCACCGGCCGGUCUCGCAGGCGAGAUUUUUCCUUUCGGAAAAAGUGGCGACACCCGGGCCGGAUAAACCCCAUCCGGAGCAAGGCCAAAUAGGGGAGAAUUUUCCGCGGAAAAACGAGGUUGCUCGCCUCGUUCUUCCCGGCGCGACCGCGCCGGGGAGUGAACUCCCGGGUAGGCCGCGUAGAUAAAUGGCCGCCGCUCCCCGUUCCCGGGGAGAACAGAAUUCGGCUUAUCGACUUGCCUUAAAU
rnacentral:RNase_P_RNA from 1 species